rnacentral:rRNA from 1 species
CAGCCGCCGCGGUAAUACAGAGGGUGCAAGCGUUAAUCGGAUUUACUGGGCGUAAAGCGUGCGUAGGUGGCUGUUUAAGUCGGAUGUGAAAGCCCUGGGCUUAACCUGGGAACUGCAUUCGAUACCGGAUAGCUAGAGAUCGGUAGAGGGCAGCGGAAUUCCGGGUGUAGCGGUGAAAUGCGUAGAUAUCCGGAGGAACACCGAUGACGAAGGCAACUGCCUGGGCCUGAUCUGACACUGAGGCACGAAAGCGUGGGUAGCAAACAGGAUUAGAUACCCCAGUAGUCCCUGUCUCUUAUAC